rnacentral:rRNA from 1 species
GACGAACGCUGGCGGCGUGCUUAACACAUGCAAGUCGAACGGAAAGGCCCUGCUUUUGUGGGGUGCUCGAGUGGCGAACGGGUGAGUAACACGUGAGUAACCUGCCCUUGACUUUGGGAUAACUUCAGGAAACUGGGGCUAAUACCGGAUAGGAGCUCCUGCUGCAUGGUGGGGGUUGGAAAGUUUCGGCGGUUGGGGAUGGACUCGCGGCUUAUCAGCUUGUUGGUGGGGUAGUGGCUUACCAAGGCUUUGACGGGUAGCCGGCCUGAGAGGGUGACCGGCCACAUGGGGACUGGGAUACGGCCCAGACGCAUACGGGAGGCAGCAGUGGGGAAUAUUGCACAAUGGGCGGAAGCCUGAUGCAGCAACGCCGCGUGCGGGAUGACGGCCUUCGGGUUGUAAACCGCUUUCGCCUGUGACGAAGCGUGAGUGACGGUAAUGGGGAAAGAAGCACCGGCUAACUACGU